CUGAACCUGCCACCUUGCUCCCGGCAGCUAGAGCCCUGUCGAGCAUGACUGUGUAGAGGUGUUGGACUCAAGUUUACUCCAGCAGACCUGACCUCCAGGACCAGCCUUGGGCAUCAGUAGACUAGGAGCUAUACUUGGACGGGAACAGCUUCAUCAACUCACAAGGAGAGAGAUGUGCAGAAUAUGCGGUGGUAACCCUGGACACUGUCGUUAAGCUGAGCUCAUUACUUUAAUUUUGGCCUCAGAACUCAGUAAAGUUGCAGGUGUUGUGUCUUGGAUCCACCAGUCAGCGAACACCGGCAGCUCAGGACAAGUGGACCAGCCAGCAGGACGCAGAUCAUCCAACCCGGCUGAUCCUGAGAUGAGAUCAAGCUGCUGCCGAGGACGACAGCCCUGCUCUGGUCACUCCGGAGGCUGACCAGUCUGCGCAUGGCCAAAGCUUGAGGACUCAUCAAGCAAGUCAAUGUAGUUAAAAAUCUUAAGACUAACAGUUUUCCUGUAAUACUAACUGUUUUUCUAUUCUGUUGCUGUCUUCAAUCUUUUUCCCAGGUAAGGACCUCUUUUGUCCUCGCUGGAUAUGAAUAUACUGUACAUUGUUUUGCUACUGUUACCCCCCCAUAACCAUGCUAGAAACACCUAUAUAAGGUGUCCCCACUCUAUACAUACUACUUAGCAAACCCAGACCCUCCAGCCCAGCAACAAUUCCGAGUCUUGCAGUCAUUCUUUAAACAUAUAAACCAGAAGUUACCAGAACCUCCUCCUGUAGAAAAAAAAAAAAGGAAAAAGCCUAUUUGCUCAGUUGUCUGAAAACAGUGCUGGCAGCCUGGAUGUUUCUUCAUGUUACGUUUAUAAAAAGGCUAACGUAAGAGACCAAUGGCCUUGAGAAGCAAAAGCGUUAAUGCCUGAAGAUAACUUUACUUUAACUGACUCUUUCCCCAAACAGACGGCCCAAGUUCACGCAUCUGGCUCUUAAAAACUUCUGUUAUUAAAAAAAAACUGUGUUACUCACUAAGAAAAAGCUUUUAAGACCCAGUGAAAAACUAACCUGCUUAGGACAUGACAAAGUUGAUACAUGUGCCUGUGCAGGUUUAACACAGGUUU
rnacentral:lncRNA from 1 species